AAUGCUUCAGUGGACUGGAACUCUUUAGAGUAUAUGACUGCACCUCAUGAGGUACACUGAACUAGAACUGCCCAGGUCCACAUUUGCUGAAAUGUAACUCUUAUCUCAUGCACUGGGAGUGAUGAACUUCACUAGGAAAUCAUCGUUCUUUCUGGUGCCUAUUGACUUCUCACAUUGUUGCCACUAUAACGCGGAUACAAGCUGAAACUCACAAUUGUUAUGUUUUGAAACUUGCUAAGGAAUUAGACGAUAUAAGCUGCAGCUCAGAAUCAGAGGUACAUGGAUGAAGCUGGAAACCAUCAUUCUCAGCAAACUAACACAAGAACAGAAAAUCAAACACCGCAUGUUCUCACUCAUAAGUGGGAGUUGAACAAUGAGAACACAUGGAAACAGGAAGGGGAACAUGACACACUGGGGACUGUCGGGAGCUGAGGGGCUAGGGGAGGGACAGCAUUAGGAUAAAUACCUGAUUAGAUGAUGAGUUGAUGGGUGCAGAAAACCACCAUGGCACCUAUAUGUCUUUUGUAACAAAACUGAACGUUCUGCACAUGUACCCCAGAACUUAAAAUAUAUUAAUAAAAAAUAUAUUUAUGUUUCUACAUAUUGACAAAUAUGAAUAAAUUGUUAUUAAAAAUUGUGCACAAGAUUCUUCCUAAAUAUGUUUUCACUGUUCUUGAGAAAAUGCCUAGGUAUAGGAUUUCUAAGAUUUUAUGAAGUCAAAUAAAAACUCUAGGAAAUCACCAAACUGUUUUCCAAAUUGUUUUUACCACUUUACAUUUCCACCAGCAGUGUUCCGCAUCUUCCAGUUGUUCCACAUCUUCACUAGAACUUAGUAUUGUAGGGGUUUUUUUGUUCCCUUUAACUUUCUAAAGCUGUGUAAUGGUACCACAUUAAUCUCAUUGUGAUUGUAGCUUGCAUUUUUCAAAUGACAUUGAGUAUCAUUUAAUGUGCUUAUUAUAUAUUGUCAAAUGUCAGUUCAAUAUUUUGCCAGGUUUUAAUUGGAUUAUUUUUCUCAUUAUUGAGUUUUAAAAGUUAUUUACAUAUUCCUAAUAGGCAUCUUGUAUUAAGUAUGCAUUUUUCAAAUAUUUUCUGGGUCAUUUCUUUCUCAACAAUAUCUUUUAAAGAAUGAAUGUUUUAAAUUUUGAUAAAGAUCCAUUUAUCAAUAUUUUUUAUGAAUUUUAAUUUUGGUGUCAUAUUUAAGAAUUAUUUGCCUAACAUAAGAUCACACAAAUAUUUCUGAGUAUUUUGUUUCUCGAAGUUAUUUAAUGACAUGGUUUGGCUCUGCGUCCCCACCCAAAUCUCAUCUUGUGGCUCGCAUAAUUCCCACAUGUUGUGGGAGGGACCUGGUGGGAGAUGAUUGAAUCCUGGGGGCUCGUCUUUCCAGUACUGUUCUCCUGACCAUGAAUGAGCUCAAAAGAUCUGAUGGUUUUAAAAACAGGAGUUUCUCUGCACAAGCUCUCUCUUUUCUUGAUGCCAUCCAUGUAAGAUGUGAUUUGAUCCUCCUUGCCUUCUGCCAUGAUUGCGAUGCCUCCCCAACCAUUUGGAAUUGUAAGUCCAAUAAACUUCUUUCUUAUGCAAAUUGCCCAGUCUCUGACAUGUCUAUCAGCAGUGUGAAAAUGGGCUAAUACAUAUAAUUUUCUGUUUUAUAUUUAGAUGUACAAUUUAUUCUGAUUUAAAUUUUUGUGUGUUAUAGAUCAAGUCCUUUUCUUUUUGUCUUUCAUUCAUUACUAUUUUUAUUUUUGCAUAUAGAUGAACAUUUCUUUCACCACAACUUAUUGGUGACUGUUCUUUAGCCACUGAUUUGCCUUUGUGUCUUUUUCAAAUUGAUCGUACAUGGGUGAGUGUAUUCCUGAUACAUUCAUAUUUGUGUCUGUCCUUUUGCUAAAACAAUGCUGUCUUAAUUAUUAAUAUUAUU
ensembl:lncRNA LINC01266 long intergenic non-protein coding RNA 1266